AUGGGAGAGUUUGACUAGAUUUUUUUCAUUUUUAUAUUGCCUGAUAUUGCUUUUUUUGAAAUAUAGCUGACGUCUAGUACACCCGAUUCUUCACAUAAACGUCCACUUGGAAAUCUUGAACUUUUGGAUAACAUCAGUUUGAGGAAACGCUUUUGAAUAGCCCUGAGUGGGCGUAGAUCACGAAUGUCAUUUAAUUGCUGGAAUUCAUGAAGAACAAAUCGACGUUUUUUGAGGACCAAAUUCACAUGAUGAUCCCAUCGGAUAUAUGUUACUUGGCAAAGUGAGCAGUUGAAAACUUGGUAUUAGUUAAAACGGAGGACAUGUACACAAGACUUAAUCAGUCAACAUAUGAACUCAGAUAUCUCAAAUGAGAUAUCUGCUACGAAGAAUUCAGCCUCAGAGGGUGAAAUAAUUCGUCACCAAUGCUGAAAACAAAUUUUGUACUUCUGACUGCAAUAAUAAAUAAUGUUUCGUAUGUGAACGUACCAAAUGUGGGUGAAAUUUAUAGCAAUAUGCGUGAAGGCUAGUGAUUGUGAUUAUGGCUGUGACAGAACACAAUGGAAAUCGAUGUGAUUGACAUUAGUUAGUGAGGGUCAUUUUGCGGUAUUUGCAGGCGCAAUUUCAAAGAAUACACCAUUCAAAUAUAAAUUAACGUCGAUAUUUCAAGAUCUUCGACAAUCAGAUAGGAAAACUGUUGAAGUUGUUCCUGAACACGCAGCAAGGCUAGAGAAAAAGAGUUACAAAUGAAAUUUGAUGUUUAUAGAAUUCUCAUCAUAGUAUUUACGUUUAUUUUGAUUAGAGCAUGUAUUUUGAUUGGAAUUUUACAAUAAUUAUAAAACUUGCU